UUUCUCCUUCACUUUUCUCCUUGUCACUCCAAAAUUGCUGCCUCCCGAUAAACUCCGGUUACUGCCGCUGGUAAUGACGUUGCUCAUCUCACUCCCAAGCUCGUCUUACCUCUGUUGAUUCUGUGUCGCCACCUUGCUCGUCUUCCCUGCACGCAACCCCCGCUGCUCACGUCGUUGGUGCGGCCACGGGUCUGAUCUGGGUCACGCGCGCCUCCUCAAUCUCCUGGGGCCAGUCAAUAUUGACGGUUGAUUAGCAGGGCUUGAGGAGCAGCGACGCGAGGGAGGAGUUGAGCUAGUCGAACUCGACGGUGGCGUUGCCGUCGGUGUCCAUGUAGGCGAUGAGGGUGUGGAUCUUGUCCCCUGCGACGGGGCGGAGGCGAGUGAUGCAACACGGACAUCUCCAGUUUGGUGAGUCUGCCAUCGCCAUCAAGGUCGAAGGAGGAGGAGCUUUCGCAGUUGGGUUAGCGGAGGGGGCUCAUCGACGCCCAUACAUUUUUCUUCCAGCACAGCCCUACAAAUGUUGGUGCCUUCGGACUCCAAAAUCAACAAAAAUCGUGCAAAACUGGAGUUUGAGGUACCGCUAUGGGAGGACCUUGAAGUGGCCACAUCCUACCUUUUCCGGGCAUGGGACCGACAUUGACAGUGUUAGGCCCCUUACCAUACAUUAUUAUCGAUGAAAUUUAAGAAUUUAUACACAUAUUUGCGAGUAGUUGUAGUUUAAAUAUUUAUUAAAAGAUUAAUUAAAUUUUAAUAACUGAAUAGUAAAAUAGGUCUGAUUGCGUUAUACAAUACUGAGCUCAACUCCUAUAAGCUUGUAGUCAAUAAUGAGCUUCAAACAUGAGAUACCAUACUAUUUUGAUGUUUGGUAUUAUUGAAUAAUUACUCAGGAGUAACUGUAAUCUGAUGUAUAUAGAUGGUAAGAAACCAUAAGCUUAGAUGGGCGUAAAGCUUUUACCAUUUUUUGGAGAUAUUUCAUAUUUUCAUCAAAUGUUCAUGCAUUUUUUCAAUAUUUCUGUAGAAUAGUAUAUUAUAUUCAUCCUGCCAUAUAGUGUCUAACAUUCAUGUUACCAUAGAUUAGUAAAUUUGUUAAUUUGAAGAGAUUUUGCGGCAAAUUAAUUAUCAAUGUACUUGUGCUUAUGUAAAAGGCUGGCAACAUCAUACGGCAAGUGUGUGUUUUGGACUUUUAGUUCAUAACUUUAGAAAAAUUCUUUGUAGAUUAUGUUCUUGACCCUAACAUCCUUAUUGUUAUCUUCAUCAUUUACCAUUACUUGCAGUCCAUCCCUUUUUCUGACUCUUGAGAAUGGUACAUAUAGUGUCCAUGUGUAAAGACUUGUUCAUGUAGAUAUAGUCCAACCUUGUUUGGAGAGUGCUCCUGGCUUUUGUUAUGGUCAUAGAAAAGCAUGGUGAGAUAGGAUAUUGUCUCCUUUUUAGAAGGCAUAACCACACCCAUUUAGCUGGUGACAUGUUUUUUUGGAAUAUAGACCUUUUCUUCUAGAUGUGAUUCUGUUAUUUACUAUCUUCACUUCGAUGAAUGUGUUUGUACGUUGUACUGAACAAUCACAUACCGUCAUUUUUUUCUUUUGUACCAUUCACAAUCGAGGCUGCAACUUCAGUUGCAGAUGGCAUACCAUGUCGUUUUCCAUCUGCGCCACACUCAUUGGUUAGUUUAAUCUGGCAUUGUGAUAGUUACAGUCUUUGAAUGUGUCACUUGCCAUUCUUAAUGUUUUUGCUCGUAUAUUAUCUCUAUCCAGCAUAUUAUUAAGGGACUCAAUGAUGCGAGGAUCUAUUGAUUCCCUUUAUAUUUUGGGUUUUUAGUGCCAUAUAUGCACAAGCACAACUAUGCCUAGCACGGUCUCUCUUCAGUCUUCACCUUCAGGCACCAAUGUAGCAACUAUGUGGCAGUUUUGCCCGUUCAUUCUAAACACAUAAGGUCCAUUGCGAUUGUUUAUUUCUUUGUGUACCUUACAGGCCAUUAAUGUGAGAUCCAACGUGGAGUUGUACAGUAUGGUAUUUUCCAUGUAGUUUUUUGACCUCUUCCCGGUUUUUUCAUAGCCAUUUCAUGAGGUAAGCCAAUGGCUCUCUCAGUUGGCAGCAUAGUAAGCUACUCCCUCCGUUCCUAAAUAUAAAUAUUUUUAGAGAUUUCACUACAAACUACAUACGGAUGUAUAUAAACAUGUUUCAUAGUGUAGAUUCACUCAUUUUGCUCCGUAUGUAGUUCAUAGUGAAAUCUCUAAAAAGGCUAUAUUUAGGAACGGAGGGAGAACAUGCUUCUAGCUGUACCUGAUGUUCUUUCUGCUUACCAGAAAAUGGCACCAUGUUGCUGUACUUGCCGGUUGCCUCUACGAAGUUUGAAAAAAAUUCAUACCAAGUCCAUUCAAUGUUCAAGUUUCUUAAUUUUGCAUCAUUUAAAUAUCACUGUUGGUUGCUCUUGUUCAUUCUAAAAUUCAAACUUAAUACAACUUACAUAUCUGAUGACGUUUUUCUUUGUCCUCAGUUUUGAUGUUGUGCACCCUUUGUUUUAGUCCUUGAUUGUCUUAUCACUCGGUUCUUGUGGUCAAUGCAUUCAAGAACAUAGUUGAGAUGUUGUUUGGGGCCUAAAAAUAGAAAUAGAUGUAUGAGUUAGUAAAGUAGAAAUAUAACUGGAAAAAUAAUUAUAUGCAUAGUAAAGAGUUACCUUUAACACAAACUAUUAACUCAGGGAAAUGUAAGUAUGGCAAGGGAGUUCAUUAAUCUGGCUUUCAAUGAAUCAUGCGAAUUAAUUUCUUUUGUUCAUAAGAUGGUAAUACCUACUGGAGGUGGAGCGGUCACUAAAAGGAGUCAAUUCGACAAUCAAGGUGAUCGACGGAGAUUGGUUGCCAACCUUGGAUACAAAUUUUUUUUACUAAACAGAAGUAUAGCAAGGACCCGGUUUCGGUCAUAUUAAUCAAUCUAGAUGUAUAGAUUAGUGUUUUUUUUAUUUUAACAUAAUCUAUCAAUCAAGUAUACUUGAUCCAUCACCCAGUGAUCACUUCAUCAGUUUGACAUCCAAUGGAUAGUACUCUCUCUGUACAUAAAUAUAAAUAUAAGAGCGUUUACAUAACCACUUUAGUGAUCUAAGUGCUCUUAUAUUUACUAGAUGACCCGUUGCGCCCAUGGCGCAAAGGCCGAGUAGCAGCCAAGUAUUGAAAGAGUGUGCAUUGAAAUAUGUAAAUAUAGAAUGAAACAUAUGAAAAUAAACACAUAAGAGCCUUUUCACUUGGCAUACAUCUGGACUUAUUCGAGCUAAUAUUCUUGAUAGGGGAAACAACAAUAUUUUUCUUUACACUAAGAGUUUUAAAAAGCAAAGCUUGCAUACCUGCAAUGAGCAGAGAACAUGCAAUAGACAAAGGAACAUUUUUUUAAAGUAAUGUUGCUUCCAAAGCACAGCUCAUGAUAUUGCAUGCAGCAAGCAAAUAAUAGUGAUAGACAAUUAUGCAUAGGCCUUUGGACGUGCAUUUGAAGGCAAAAGCUUAUGUUUCUUUCAGCAUAGCCAUUUCAAAGGCAUGCCAGCAAAUGACUGCAGUUAAAUGCACAAGAUGAUCUUAGGUGAUUACAUAAGAUUUAAAAUGAUGAUAAACAUAGAAGUCUUAGUAGGCAUCUAUAUUAAUGCUAAGUUAUAUAACAAGGGGCUCUUGCAACUUGCUUAUAUUGAGUAGACAGUCAGGCCCAGUCCCUUGAAAGUGCAUUUGAAGGCGAAAACAUAUGCUUGACCUUUCUCCAUGUGCGCCUGACGGAAGAAGUCGCUCCAGCCUCUAGUGAUGGUGGCCCUUUUGUCAACACCCUUGAUAAAGCGGGCUGUGAUAGUGGUAGUUCCAUCUACAGUAGUGAUUGGCAGUUCACCAUGGUCAGCAUCCAUGUAUGGGGAAAGGGAGCUCUUAGAAAAGGGAACCCCAAAGUACUGAAAAUGACAGUAAAGGUUAGUUAGUAUAUCAUUUUAUACGAUGUCAUUGUAUGAUACAGAACAAAGUAAUGGCAAAGGAUUACCAUCCUUCUGUCGUCUGUAGCAAAUGUUUCUAUCAUAUGGCACACAUAGUAAUGAUUAGGUGUGGUGGUGUCGUGGAUGAUCUUUUGCAGUCUACGAACAUUAAUAUUGUUGUCUAGAUUGCUGGUUUGGAGUUUUUGUCGUGCCUCGAUGAAAACAAAAGGACAGAGAGAAAUUCUAGUUUUGAUACAUUAUCUUUUCCUUCCCUUUUGGAUGUUUGCGAAUUCCGACCUGUCCAAUGAAGAAACAAAUGCUCAAUUUAGUGAACCUCAAAUUCUCAAAUUCGGUUUUGGAUGAUCACAAUGUGUUUUUAUCUUCAGCUACUUAUGGUUAUGCGCACCUUGGCCUCUUACCCGCUGUAAAACUCUUGUUUCUUUGAUGAAAUGGAACAGGGUGGUGUGGUCCAUGCAGCUCCUAUAUUUUGAGAAAUAAAAUCUUAUGCUUAUAUUGUAAAUGGAAAACUUUUAUAAUCCACCGAAUGAUUUAUGAUACUAAAAUAACUAUAUAUAGAAGAAAUUAUCUCAGUGGAAACAACGAUUAUACUAAGAAGACCACCUGUACAGACACAUCGGUUGGUGAAUAGUGCACCGAUUUUAUAAACAAUUAUUUGGAGGAGAUAGAAAGUGAACUAAAUCAUUACACGGAAUACCUAAACGUAUUGGAAAUAUUGUACUGGUACUUGCUAUAUGGUUAACAAAAUAGUCCACGGGAUUAACUUGGAAACAAAUAUAUAGUUCUUCACCAGCCGCCUUGUUUGUGCGCCACGUGCCUCUGUGGGGUCCUCACACCGCCCUCCCUUUCUCUUAUCUCCAGCCAAGAAACAGACAACCACAUAUUCCCCCCAAGCCCCUCCUCCCUUCCUCUGUCUCUCCCUCCCUCAAGCCCCUCUUACCUCCCCGAUCUGCUAGCGAUGCAUCCAAAUCGAUGACCUCUAUGCGCGUCCUAAGAGAAAGUGAGGCAGAGGGAGCGGCCCAUGGCUGGAUUAAGCUGCUGCGAAGCUCAGUGCCUCUGCUGCGAGCCUGCAGAGAUGAGAGUAUGGGCGUCGGCUGACGACGGGAUACUGUGGGCGUUGGCGGCCGAGGCUACAAUGGAGCCCGGCACCACGGCACCCGGAGCUGCAAUGAAGCUCUGCCUGGGCUGCGAUGGAGCCCGGCACCACGGCGGCCGGAGCUGCAAUGGAGCUCCGUCAGGGCUGCAAUGAAGAGCGGGCGCUACUGCCGGCGGCGUGGCAAGUCGAGGACGGCGACGCUCGCCACCGGUGCUGCAAUGAAGCGAGCAUUGAUGCCGGCGGCAUUGCAAUGGAGCAGGUGCUGCUGCGGGCGGCGCGGCAAGUCGAGGAAGGCGACACUCGCCACCAGUGAUGCAAUGAAGCGAGCGUUGCUGCCAACGACGCGACAAGCCGAGGACGGGGCGCUGCAAUGAAGCGUCAAUGGAGCCACUGACGACGGCGCUGCUGCGUGGCGAGGGAUGCAAUACUAUGGCAGUGCCGCCGCCUCGAUGAUGUUGUGCUUGUCUGGGUCGCAACAUCGCCGCUGCUGCGAUAUCGUCGGCGCUGGCUCCGUUGCCACGUUGAGGACCUGCUGUAGUCACCUUGGUCACGCGGAGUUGUAGUCGUGUUUGCUGCUUUGCGUUGCUUGUGCUGGUAGCGGUGGAUGAUUUCAUAGCAGCCGCCGUUGUAAAUUGGUGCUACCGCAUCAGGCGAGUGGCGGUUCCCUGAUCCUUGCAUGCAGAACCAGUUUAGAUGGGAGUUCUAACGACGCAUUAUACAAGGAGCUAUGACAUGCUUGAGCUAGGCUGUUGAUCACGGUGCCUUGCCAAGGUGAAAGAAUUUACUACUUUCCAGAUGGUUAUAUGGAACAGGUAUGUCUCACCGCAUUGAUGUUUGCUCUUCUUGAUGCCCCAUAACUAAUGAAUGAAUUUUGCUACUCAACACAAACAAUAGCAAUUUGUGCUAGGGGCACUGCUUGAUCUUGUGUUAAAUAAUAAUCAUCCAGGUAUUAGGGUCCUUGUGUGUGCGAGGCGUGUGCUUGUCUAGUAUGGUCAUGUAUUAGUUAAAAAAUGAGUAUCCAUGAGAGGGCACCACUUUACAUUCAGUGCUUCCAGCCUUGUAGGCGUCACCAUAAGUCCCUUUGACAAGCUUCACUGUGAUGCCUAACUAACUAUUUCACAAACAUUUUUUUAGCUAAUAAAAGCAACAGUGAAGGUAAAUAAACUCAUUUUCACAUGUCAUGACAAACUGAUUUCUUCCGUCCGCCCUAAAAACAUAGUACUAAUACACCGAGAGACUGUACAAUUGAUCAAGCUACUUUACAAAUUAAUUUAGGAACAGACUAAACAUAUCAGGAUAUACACCAGUUGACUACGAAGAAAAGAAUUCAUCAUCUACUAAUACUCUACUAAAUGAAUACAUCCAUUCACAUCUUCAAAAUUGUAUUAUACAUGUCAGAGAAUGACCAACGGUACUUGUUCUUCUCUGAAAGAUGUCAAAAAAAUACAAUUAGUAGAGAAGUUAGAAGGAUUUUGAGCUCUAAACUCUAGUUAUCAAUAGACUUGACUGUCUACCGAUCUCCAACCGGUUAAUUUAUGACUCAUUAGGUUUACCUAUAAGUGAGCAAUGGUCUGUAAGAUGUGACUUGCUUGCAUGCAUUUCAUAAAUAAAUAUGUAAAUAAAAGUUGGGACUUGCGUACAUACCUGGAUAUUUGCAUUCACAAAGAGACUAUAUAUCUUCAAUUCACAUAUAGGACAAGAAUGUAUAGUCACAAACUCACAAUUCCAUGGCAGCAAAAAUCUUCAACAAUCUGUGAACUCCAUAAAACAAUGAUAUUAGAGAUCUCUUGUUUUGUUGAUAUAUUGACAUAUAGAGGAAGAAGAUUUAGUCGACAGGAGAGGAGAAGCAACCAUCAAUUGUGCUAAUGUCACCUCUCCAUAGUACCAUAUGUCCAAAGGCACUCGAGUAAAAAUUCAAAC